rnacentral:rRNA from 1 species
UAGGGAAUCUUCCGCAAUGGACGAAAGUCUGACGGAGCAACGCCGCGUGAGCGAAGAAGGUCUUCGGAUCGUAAAGCUCUGUUGUCAGGGAAGAACAAGUACCGUUCGAACAGGGCGGUACCUUGACGGUACCUGACGAGGAAGCCACGGCUAACUACGUGCCAGCAGCCGCGGUAAUACGUAGGUGGCAAGCGUUGUCCGGAAUUAUUGGGCGUAAAGCGCGCGCAGGCGGUUCCUUACGUCUGAUGUGAAAUCUCGCGGCUCAACCGCGAGCGGCCAUUGGAAACUGGGGAACUUGAGUGCAGGAGAGGGGAGCGGAAUUCCACGUGUAGCGGUGAAAUGCGUAGAGAUGUGGAGGAACACCAGUGGCGAAGGCGGCUCUCUGGUCUGUAACUGACGCUGAGGCGCGAAAGCGUGGGGAGCAAACAGG